rnacentral:rRNA from 1 species
UACGGAGGGUGCGAGCGUUAAUCGGAAUUACUGGGCGUAAAGCGCACGCAGGCGGUUUGUUAAGCUAGAUGUGAAAGCCCCGGGCUCAACCUGGGAUGGUCAUUUAGAACUGGCAGACUAGAGUCUUGGAGAGGGGAGUGGAAUUCCAGGUGUAGCGGUGAAAUGCGUAGAUAUCUGGAGGAACAUCAGUGGCGAAGGCGACUCCCAGGCCAAAGGCUGACGCUCAUGUGCGAAAGUGUGGGUAGCGAACAGG